UGGGGUGUCGCCAAGUGGUAAGGCAGCGGUUUUUGGUACCGCCACCCUAGGUUCGAAUCCUAGCACCCCAGCCA
rnacentral:tRNA from 7 species